ensembl:snRNA U1 U1 spliceosomal RNA
AUACUUACCUGGCAGGGGAGACACCAUGAUCAAGAAGGUGAUCAAGAAGACUGCAUAAUUAAUGGUAGUGGGGGACUGCGUUCACGCUCUCCCCUG